AUUGAACGCUGGCUGCAGGCCUAACACAUGCAAGUCGAGCGGAUGAAUGGAUCUUGCUCCUUGAAUCAGCGGCCGACGGGUGAGUAGUGCCUAGAAAUCUGCCUAAUAUGGGGGUAAAACGUCGGUAAACUUUCGCUAAUACCGCAUACAUCCCGAGGUAGAAUGUUUGGGAUCUUCGGACCUAACGCUAUAAUAUGAGCCUAGGUCGGAUUAGCUUGUUUGUGGGGUAAAGGACUAUCAAGGCGAAGAUCCGUAACUGGUCUGAGAGGAUGAUCAGUCACACUGGAACUGAGACGCGGUCCAGACCACUAUGGGACGCAGCGGAGGGGAAUAUUGGACUAGGGGCGAAAGCAUGAUCCAGACCAGCCGAGUGUGUGAAAAAGGUAUUCGGAUUGUAGAGCUAUUCAAGUUGUGAGGAAGGACAGUAAGUUAUUAGCUUGCUGUUUUGAAGUUACCAACAGAAUAAGCACCGGCUAACUUCGUG
rnacentral:rRNA from 1 species